rnacentral:rRNA from 1 species
UACAGAGGGGGCAAGCGUUGUUCGGAAUUACUGGGCGUAAAGGGCGCGUAGGCGGCCUGUUAAGUCGAACGUGAAAUCCCCGGGCUCAACCCGGGAACUGCGUCCGAUACUGGCAGGCUUGAAUCCGGGAGAGGGAUGCGGAAUUCCAGGUGUAGCGGUGAAAUGCGUAGAUAUCCGGAGGAACACCAGCGGCGAAGGCGGCUUUCUGGUCCGAUUCUGACGCUGAGACGCGAAAGCGUGGGGAGCGAUCCGG